UACCACCAGGAUGUGCAGGAGCAAGCAUUCCCCAGAACUGGACAUGAUCAGUAUGUAAAAAAGUGAAUAAUCAGUGCUUUUACUGCAUGUCAAUAAUGUACAUCUCAAGUCAUCCUAAUGACAGUAUGCAUCAUUUGAACAGCUGUGUGAUCCCUGCAGUGGUGUCAAACAAACAGGUCAGGGGGAGGUGUUUGCUCUCCACCCAAACAGAUGUGGGCCUGAAAGGGUUCAUCUAGUUCAAGCUGUAGUGCUCUCUGUCAUUCUCAGUCCAGUACAAUGUUCCUGCAAGCUGGAAUACUGCUUACAGCCUUUGCAGGCUGCAUCUCUGCAAAUGCAAUCACUUCAAACAGUGCUGUGGUCAAAACAGUGGAGGACUUUACCAUAACCCUCUCCUGUAACUACUCCUCGGGUAACUACCUACAGUGGUAUCGGCAGUAUCCAAGAUCAGAACCCCAGUUUCUCAUGAGUGUGUAUAGCUCUACUGAGGCUCAGGAAUCAAGCUCUGAUCCUCGCCUGUCCGGGAUACUGAACAAAGAGAAAACUCAAAUCUUCCUGAACAUCAACUCUGCUAAACUCUCAGACUCUGCAGUGUACUACUGUGCCAUGGAGCCCACAGUGAAACAAACAGACUCACUGUCAUACAAGAACCUGACUCACAGAGUAAGACAAGCUACACUCUCCUUUCCGCUUGUACUGUAGAAAUUACACUGUUUUUUGUUUGUUUUUUUUGUUUGUUUUCGUGGGACUGGUUUGUUCAAGUGAAUGAAUAGCAACAAAUAAAACUAGUUAAGAAUCAGAUUGAAAUGAUGGGGUUUUAAUCUGGGAUGCAGGUUAAAAAUGAUUACCACAUUUUAGAAUUCAUAUUUUCAGCAGGGUGGUUUUCUGACUUUAAGAUUGUUAAUCAUAAUUUUCUCAGUUUCGCUUUUAUGGAUGAGGUGUGUGUUCUAAUUCAGCAUUAAUAAAAUAAAUUACGCCAAAUAUCGCUCUCGAGGAAUCAUGUCUUAAUGUUUGUUUGUAUAGAUAAGCUGUCAGCCGAGGAUACAUAAACUCUUUUUAGGAAGCAUCCGGUAUAAUUUUGCUGUUCCUCAUUUCUCAUAUGUCUUCAACUUGUCCAUUUAUUUGUAUUGCCCCAUCAUGGCCCACAUGAAAACACACUGGCCUGGCUCUUGAGUGCAGUACUACUC